rnacentral:lncRNA from 1 species
GAAGCAUCAUUAUUUGGUGCAUGACUGUAGAACUUUAAGCAAUGAUGAAAAUGCUCUAUAUCCACACUAUCCAAUAUGGUAACCACUAGCCACUUGUGACUACUGAGUGUCUGAAAGGUUCUGCUUGAAUUCUUGCCCUGGCUCUUGGUGAAGGAUCGGCCUGCUGGAUCUGAGUCAUCCACCUAUAAGAGGGACAACACCACACAUUGGUCGCUGCUCUCAAGCCCCUGGAAUACCACCCCACUUGGCUUCUCCUGAUUCUGCUAUCAGCUACAGGUCUGGGUUUGUGUCUCCGACAAAGAACCACCUCAAAGCCCCACAGAAAAGGACUGUACCGUAUACUUCAAACUAUUGACACCUCAAAGAACAGAGCUUGGGUUCAGGCUUCUGAUGCAUUCUGAGACACUCUCAGACCAUACCAGUGGGCUGGGUCAGGAUUUACAGAACUAUUUUCAUUUCAAGAGCAUACGGGCUCAUGAGAUUGCUAACUCAAGAUCCGGUGGAACAGAAAUACUUAUAUCGGACUGAAUAAACUGAUGAGGAAAA